UGAAUGACAGAGACUGACAAGGAG
rnacentral:piRNA from 1 species